rnacentral:rRNA from 1 species
CGUAUAUUAAAGUUGUUGCAGUUAAAAAGCUCGUAGUUGGAUUUGUGGCGUACGGUGUGUUCCGGGCACUUGUUGUCUGAGUAACUUGCCGUUGCCAUCCUUGGGUGGAACCUGUGUGGCAUUAGGUUGUCGUGCAGGGGAUGCCCAUCGUUUACUGUGAAAAAAUUAGAGUGUUCAAAGCAGGCUUAUGCCGUUGAAUAUAUUAGCAUGGAAUAAUGAGAUAGGACUUUUUUACUAUUUUGUUGGUUUGCGUAAAGAGGUAAUGAUUAAUAGGGACAGUUGGGGG